UGUCUUACCACAAACAUUCCUAUUUCCACAAAACCAAGAGCUCCAAUGAUGUUACUUCCCUUUUCCUUCCAAAGUCCUCUAAAGACUAGAGGAGAGAGCUCAAGAAUGGGACGUGGGGGUUGAUGGCCAUAAGUUGAGUUCUGUUCUUCCUUCCUUCCAAGAAAAUUCAGCAAGAGACUGCCCAGGAGUCACCAGUGAGAUGGGAGCACAACAAGGGCAGCGUCUUUUGUGUCCCAAGAGAAUCAAGUCUUGUCAUGGUUUGACUAUCCCAGAUGAAUAAUUUACACAACAGAAAUACAAAACU